UCUCGUAGUUUUUUCUUUUUCCCAAAGGUAUAUAUAUAUAUAGUUAGCAUAUUAGUGGAAAUGAGAUAUUAUAUAUAUAUAUAAUUCAGAAAAGAAAACCCAUCAUUUAAAGAGUAGAAUUCUGUAAUAUGAAAUUUGCUAAAGUGUAAUGGUUCAUUUCUAGAGGUCCUUACUCAGUAUGCUUAACGUGAUUACUAUCUGGAAUAUGAUUUGCAUAUUUAUGUGUAUUUUGUGCAUGUAGGCUAGAUUACAGAAAUUUCACCUUAUAAAAGUAUGAUUAUACUUAUUGUUCGAUUCUUAUAGGCUAGAAAUAUCACCUCAUAUCAAUUUGAAUAUACCAUUUCUUUUUCUUGGGCAUAUAAUUAUAGGUUAAAAAUUUAUACCAAACUAUAACUUAGUUCAUAAGUACUGUAUUGUUUUCUUUCUCCUGUAGAAACCAGUAUGGGCAUAUGACAAUUUCAAGUUUUAACAGAACAAUUCUAAUAAAUUAUUAAGGUUUUAGCCUAUAAACAAACGUCGCCGUGGCCCAUAACUUGACAGCCCAAUUAAUAAAUUGGAAGGCCGACUAGACCAUUACAUGGGAAUUACUUCCUUCUUCUUCCGUCAGAAACCGGUGGCUCUGUAACUCAUAAUGAAUAAGAAAUUCGGGGCAGGGAAACAGCCAACUGGCACUCCUUCACUGGGCUGGUCAUGCGUUGUCGUCGUCGUUUCACUUCUUGCUGGCGCCUCCGUUGUUCAUAAUAUUUAUAAACCUGACCUUACAUUGCCUCCGGCGGAUAUCAUUGAUGCUGCAAAUAAGAAGCGUGAUGAAACUGGGAAAGAUUGAAUCCUCCUUUUCUUUUUUGGCGGAUACAUACGACAGACUGAAUUGAUUUCUAUUUUUAGAGUGUUUUCUUGGCAGGUUUCUGCUUUGUUGCUCGUUUUCUGUUAAAUAUGUGAUUUAAUUAUUCGAGGAUUUUCUUGCUUUUGGCUUUGGAUUCACAAUAAUUAGUUUUGAAUUUGAAAUAAUGUUCAAGACUCCUUGUAAAUUACAUUCAGGUCUUUAACUCGCAACGUAACAAGAGAAAGAGUAUUUUAAGUGGAAUGCGUUUCUACAAUACAGAAAUAGUUACUAUCUCAAUGGUCAUUUAAAAGUAAAUCAUCCAGCAAUUUUAUUAAAAAGUCUUACUGUAUAAGAUAAAGAAAUGAGCAUCUAGGGUUUAUAUAAGGACAUUCUCACCUAUUUACAUGUGCAAAGUAGCAGCUUGAGGCAACCAGCAGCAAUGUAAGACCAGUAAGAAACCCUAACCACAUCCAUGCACAGGAGAUGUACAGGACUUAAAAACAGUUUCCGGACAAUGCUUCUUCUAGUACAGUAUCCGUACUGCACCACUUUGCUUGUAGAAGGAAUGGAGGAUAGUAGCAUUGGAAAAACAACAUAAAGAGUCUCCAGAUAUUUGUAAAAAGAUGACCAAGGAGAGCUAUCUACCAAGAAGAAUAUUCACCUGUAUCUGUAAGCCCUGGAUAAUUCAUCUGGUGAGACAAUAAGCAAUUACUCCACAUCAUCCUGCUAUCCCCGAAUGCA